rnacentral:rRNA from 1 species
GUCUCCGGCCGCGCCGCCCUGAACGCACCCGGUCCCGUCCGAUCUCGGACACUCAGCAGGGCCGGGCCUGGUUAGGACUCGGAUGGGAGACCACCCAAGAUGACCAGGUGCCGUAGGCG